UUGAGGAGGGCACAGGAGACGCGUGAGAGGGAGGAGGAGGAGGAGGAGGAGGGAGUUGGCCGUGUGUGACAGACAAGGGGCCUCAAUGUGACUGAUACAGACUCCAGAGCUCUGUGUUAUUAUUCUUCUACUCACACAAGGGCUGCCAGGGUUUAUGUCUGUUUCCUCCUGGAAUAUCUCUCUGGAUUUAAAUAAAGGGGCACAUUUAUUAAAGGGUGAAGUGAAAAUUCACCAGAAAUCCCAUUGGCAGGGACGUCAUCAAUUCACUAACAGGCAUAGAGGACCAUUCCCUAGUGAAAAAGGACAUCUUUAGCGCAGUUUUGGGCCCUAUCACCAGAUAACAGAUGUUCACCUACGCAGAGGGAAUCACCAGCUUUACUGUUAGUUACAAUAAAUGAUGAUUUUCCAUUUUUAUAUUGCAUACCAAUAAAAAAAAUGUUUAAAACAAACAUAACCGUCUACAGCUGAGUGUUUCUCCAGUUUUGUAUACCAUAUUCUCCUAAAAUAGUGCUUUGUGAUAAUAAAGUAUUGUCAUAUAGAUUUCAACUCAACCUAAUAUCAUUGGUCAG